GAAUAUUUUUCCCUUUGAUAGGAGAGCACGUGCGGCCUCUUGUGCGCUGAACCGACGGGACGCCAUUUUGAAAAACACGCAUGAAAAUGGCUGCCGACUGUUUGUGCUUGAAGACAUUUGCAAGACUCUUUCAGCUUCUUCGAGUUUUCAAGAAGAACAAUAACUGGAUCAAGGCGGGAGUCCGAGAAACAACAGUUUUCACCAUCAUUUUCUUGACUUUGUACACAACCGUGUAACCGUGCAUCAGGUUGCAGCUCAGGAUGCCUGUGAGGGCCAGGGAUGAGGCACCAUCCUGAGGUCAUAAUUACAUCUUUUCUGGCUUUCAGGAUGACUGAGAGCUCCAAAUUGCUGUCUGCAUUUUGCCUAUACUGAUAGCUCACCCAACGUUCCAUGGUUUUGGACCUCCAACUACAGAAAGCAACACUGUAGAAGUCUGUGAAGGCUUUGAAGUCCGGAAUCUAUUGAUGCUGCUCCUGACGUCUGGAUCUGAUGCCAACCGGUCGGACUCUCCUCGGGAAGAUUGGAUGGAAUCGUCUUAGGGAAAGGGCAAAUCUAUGGCAAACUCAUAUCUAGAAACAUAAUCAAAACUAGGAAGUUUUGGCUGAAGAAGCAUUCCAAAGAAGCUUGUGAGGCUUAAAAGAUUUUCAUAAUUUUAAAUAAAAUAGUAGCAAUGAGAGCUGGAAUUCUAAAUGAAGGAUUUUGCACAGUGUUCCUUGCAAUCUCAAACAAGUGAAAACCCUUGCCAUGGAUUUGCCCUGUACACUCAAAUAUAAAGAUGUAGAACCAGGCACAUGUCACAUAUAUCAAAUUAAUUAUUGGUUUUUGCAAAGGUUUUUGUAAAACAAAAAACAAAAAAAAACAAGAGUUUUAAAGUAAAUUUUUUCAUCUCAAAUUUGAUCAACUAUCUGUAAAUAAUCUUUACAUUAUCAAGACUUGAAGAACCUAUAAACCGCUCUUAUUUCAAAACGUCUAAUUUCUUUGACGACAAGAUCUUGCAUUGAACUCUUUCCUUUCAACAAGCUCCUUUAUUUAUUCGAAAUGGCUUCAUGCUGCACAAAAUAAAACCUUGGCAAUUAGGUUGGUGUGGUUUGAUGUAACAUUUCUUAGGAUUGAGAAUUUCCCUUUAAAUUUGAAAACAAGAGGGUCACCUUUUCUAACUAAAUUUCCUGAUUUUAUUGAAUGUUAAGAUUUUUAUUGAAAAUUUUGAUUAUCACAAUGACUUUUUAUUGAAAAUUUUGAUUAUCACAAUUACUUUUUAGUCAUUUUUUCCUGACAUGUGCCUGGUUUAUUUGGUUAUAUAGAAAUUAAGUAUCUACAUGAGCACACCAUAUGAAUGAUUCAGUCAGUCAAACUCAAUAAUUGUAGAGAAUUUUGCCAGUAUCCUUGCAGUUGUAUGUCAAAUGCCGCAGUUUCAGAUCCUGCUUUUCCACUUAUAAAAAGCACUUAAAUGAAUGACACGUAAUUGUCAUACAGUUUAAAUUAUCAAAGUAACUUUUAAAGUUAUCUCCCCUUGCUAGUUUUGAGUUUCACUCAGAAAAAGAUUUUUCUAACAAUUCAAAUUAUCAGACCACGUUUAGUUAAUAUGCAAUGAUUUCUAAUUGCUGCCAGAAAAUACUGUUGUGCGUGAUGGCCCAAAAUGAAAGCGCAUUAUUUUUCAGAAUGUUGAAAAUAUCCGAAAAAAAACUUUCUUUUUAAAUGAAACUUCAAUUGAAGAAAAAAUUCAGUAAAAAGAAAUCAAUGUGUUCAAAAGCACAAAUAGAGAACUUUAAACUAGCCAAAUCUUAAGAGCAAUGUGACUCUUAUGAAUAAUUAAAUACAGUUUAGUACUUUAUGUUCCAAAAAAUAGAACUUUUUGGUGACACUGGCUGGUAAAUUGCUGUAAAUCAUUCCUAUGGUGUGCUCGUAGAGAUUUGAUGU
rnacentral:lncRNA from 1 species